AAGACUACAUCCCCCAUGAUCCUCUGCCCUGUUUCAUCAUCGCUGAUAGUCUACAGGUGUCACUCAUUAGCCUGAUUAGCUCACCCUAUAUAAGUCCGGUUCACACUGGCAUUCAUUGCUAAGUCUUGCUAGUGUCAACUGCGUUUCUAAGCCUUGUUUCUUCCAUGUCUUGGUUCCUGCUCUUGUUACUCUGCCUGUUUUUGGAUUAGCCUUUAGCCUCUGUUUUUUGCCUUGGUGUUAUUGUCUGGACUGAUUACCUCUGUAUAUGAUUGUGGAAAUAUAUUGCCUUUGGAUCCUCUACCUUCGUGUCACCGUGCAGUUCAUGACGGCUGUAUACUGUAUACAGUGCUGGGCACUGAAGAGAAAUUUAAACUAGUAACUGUUUAAAACUAGCACUAAGUAUUGACAUCGAGGUUCAACUGCUCUUCGGACAGCAGGAGUUUGAGUCUGACUGAAGGUACUUUCCUGCUCCUGUUCUCCUCCUGCUGGUUCCUGCCUCUCAUUCUACUGUCCUGACCAUUAAAGGUGAAAAACCUGGAUGUAAUAAAAGGAAAGAGCCACUGAGUGAUAAAAUGCUCCUGUACUGGAGUCUUGAAAGAGGUUACAGCGAGACAAAGAGAUCUCCCAUAUUUCUCACACCACAUUCUCAAGACCAGAAAGAAUCAUUUAGAAAAGUCUCACAAGCGUCUCAACAGUCUCUCUCGCUUCUCCAGCGUCUCUUUCAGAGGCCUUCAACAUCGACACUGAACAUCCACUGAGAUUUAAUGGCACGCCGGAAGAUUUCUUUGGUUACAGCGUUUAUCAGACUGAGUUUGGAAACCGGAAACAGAUCAUUGUUGGAGCUCCAUUAGAAGGAAACUCAACAGGGGAGAUGUACAGCUGCUCUGCAGAUCUGCAGUCCUGCAAACGGCUGCAGCGGCCAGGUUCAGAGAGCGUCCGCUUCUUCGGCAUGUCUGCUGCUGUGUCUUCUGCUGCUCUCACUAGCUGCAGUCCGUAUUUUCCUCAUGAGUGUGAUGGA